AUACGGAGGAUGCGAGCGUUAUCCGGAUUUAUUGGGGUUAAAGGGUGCGUAGGCGGUUUUUUAAGUCAGCGGUGAAAAGCAAGGGCUCAACCCUUGACCUGCCGUUGAAACUGGAGGACUUGAAUGCGGAUGCUGUGGGAGGAAUGUGGGGUUUAGCGGUGAAAUGGAUAGAUAUCACACAGAACACCGAUUGCGAAGGCAUCUCACAAAUCCGUGAUUGACGCUGAGGCACGAAAGUGUGGGGAUCAAACAGGAUUAGAUACCCUGGUAGUCCACACUGUAAACGAUGAUGACUCGCUGUCGGCGAUAUACAGUCGGUGGCCAAGCGAAAGCGAUAAGUCAUCCACCUGGGGAGUACGACCGCAAGGUUGAAACUCAAAUGAAUUGACGGGG
rnacentral:rRNA from 1 species